UACGUAGGGGGCGAGCGUUGUCCGGAAUCAUUGGGCGUAAAGAGCGUGUAGGCGGCUUGGUAAGUCCGCUGUGAAAGUCCAGGGCUCAACCCUGGAAUGCCAGUGGAUACUGUCAAGCUAGAGUCCGGAAGAGGCGAGUGGAAUUCCUGGUGUAGCGGUGAAAUGCGCAGAUAUCAGGAGGAACACCAAUGGCGAAGGCAGCUCGCUGGGGCGGUACUGACGCUGAGACGCGAAAGCGUGGGGAGCAAACAGG
rnacentral:rRNA from 1 species